AAGAAGAAGAAGAAGAAGAGGACCAAAGUGAUCAUGGGGCUGAAGUCAACUCCUGCGACUGAGACCGAGGAAGAAGUGAGCAUGUUCAAACCAGGAGCUCACCCGUCUCUACCCAAACACUCGUACUGGUUUGACUUCUGGGUGUUCGUGCUCUUCGACAUCGUCUUCUUCCUCUUCAUGUAUUUCAUUGUCCCGUAACCAGGAUUGUCUCCUGGACUGUGGAGCCUGAAGACACUGAGUGCUGGUCCUGCCCUGUCGUGAGGAAUGCUAACCGAGCUUUGACUGACUUUUCCUGCUGCGUUAUCUGACACAACACAUCGAGGUUCCACGCCCCGCACCAUGUGCCUUAAGUUUUAUACACGUAGCCUCCUGCUUUCAUAUCAGAUAUUUGAACCACACAACUCCCUCCUCCUGUGACCUGUUGCCAGCUGCUGUUACUUCAUGGUUGGAUUUAUUUGUUGCCACGUGAAAAAGAAACAAUUUAAUUAUUUAUAUUAUUGAAAAAUGGCAAUGGCAUCAUCAGGACUUGGAAAUGUCCAAAAAUUAACAUGUAAUAUCACUCAAAUGAUUUUUUAUGUAUUAUGACUAAUAUGGAAUUAUCCUGGUGGAUUGAAGCUGUGCAAUGUUUUUGAUGAAGUUGACACUGAAAUCAGAAUGAAUGGGCACACAAACUGAUUGUAUCAUAUUUUACGUGUUUUAGAUGAGUGUCUCCAAAUAAUCUGUUCAACAACAGAGUCAUGGAAAGAAAAGAUCAACCUCAAAUCUUAAAGGUUUGGUGAGAUCAAGAUGGUCCAGUGUGGGGUCACUUAGGAGAAAUUACAAUUUCAGUGCACUGAAAUGUUGACAGUUUGCACAGUGAACACGCUGCAAAUAAAUUGUUUAUACCAACCAAA